rnacentral:rRNA from 1 species
GCGCAGCAGGCGAGAACCUUCGCAAUGCGGGAAACCGCGACGAGGGACUCCCAGUGCCUACGCUCAGCGUAGGCUGUUCCCGAGCCUAGAAAGCUCGGGGAGUAAGGGCUGGGUAAGACGGGUGCCAGCCGCCGCGGUAAUACCCGCAGCCCGAGUGGUGGCCACUAUUAUUGGGCCUAAAGCGUCCGUAGCCGGCCCGGUAAAUGCCUGGGUAAAUCGUGAGGCCUAACCUCACGAAUUCCGGGUAGACUGCCGGGCUAGGGACCGGAGGAGGGAGAGGGUACUCCAGGGGUAGGGGUGAAAUCCUGUAAUCCCUGGAGGACCACCGGUGGCGAAGGCGCUCUCCUAGGACGGGUCCGACGGUGAGGGACGAAAGCCAGGGGAGCGAACCGGAUUAGAUAUCCCGGUAGU